UUUCCAGACUCCUACGGGAGGCAGCAGUGGGGGAUAUUGCACAAUGGGGGGAACCCUGAUGCAGCGACGCCGCGUGGGUGAAGGAGCGUUUCGGCGCGUAAAGCCCUAUCGGCAGGGAAGAAGGAGGACGGUACCUGACUAAGAAGCCCCGGCUAACUACGUGCCAGCAGCCGCGGUAAUACGGAGGAUGCGAGCGUUAUCCGGAUUUAUUGGGUUUAAAGGGUGCGCAGGCGGCACGGCAAGCCGGCGGUCAAAUCGCGGGGCUCAACCCCGCCCAGCCGUCGGAACUGCCGGGCUAGAGUGGGCGAGAAGUGCGCGGAAUGCGUGGUGUAGCGGUGAAAUGCAUAGAUAUCACGCAGAACUCCGAUUGCGAAGGCAGCGCACCGGCGCCCUACUGACGCUCAGGCACGAAAGCGUGGGUAUCGAACAGGAUUAGAUACCCCAGUA
rnacentral:rRNA from 1 species